rnacentral:rRNA from 1 species
UACGUAGGGAGCGAGCGUUGUCCGGAAUCAUUGGGCGUAAAGCGCGUGUAGGCGGUUCGGUAAGUCUGCUGUGAAAGUCCAGGGCUCAACCCUGGGAUGCCGGUGGAUACUGUCGGACUAGAGUACGGAAGAGGCGAGUGGAAUUCCCGGUGUAGCGGUGAAAUGCGCAGAUAUCGGGAGGAACACCAAUUGCGAAGGCAGCUCGCUGGGACGUUACUGACGCUGAGACGCGAAAGCGUGGGGAGCAAACAGG